rnacentral:rRNA from 1 species
AACGUAGGUGGCGAGCGUUAUCCGGAUUUACUGGGCGUAAAGCGUGUGCAGGCGGGGUGACAAGUGGGGUAUGAAAUCUCCGGGCUAAACCUGGAGGGGUUAUGCCAGACUGUCAUUCUAGAGUGCGAGAGAGGGGCGUGGAAUUCCGGGUGUAGUGGUGGAAUGCGUAGAGAUCCGGAGGAACACCAGCGGCGAAGGCGGCAUCCUGGACUGGUCCUGACACUCAGGAGCGAAAGCGUGGGGAGCGAUCCGG